rnacentral:rRNA from 1 species
AGCAGCCGCGGUAAUUCCAGCUCCAAUAGCGUAUAUUAAAGUUGUUGCAGUUAAAAAGCUCGUAGUUGAACUCCAGGCCUGGCUGGACGGUCCGCCUUCUGGGUGAGUACUGUCUGUGGUCGGGUCCUACCUUCUGGCGAAGCGUCAUGGCCUUCACCGGCCGUGGCGGGGAACCAGGACUUUUACUGUGAAAAAAUUGAGUGUUCAAAGCAGGCACGCGCUUGAAUACAUUAGCAUGGAAUAAUGGAAUAGGACAGUGGUUCUAUUUGUGGUUUCUAGGACCGUUGUAAUGAUUAAUAGGGAUAGUUGGGGGCAUUAGUAUUCAAUUGUCAGAGGUGAAAUUCUUGGAUUUAUGAAGACUAACUACUGCGAAAGCAUUUGCCAAGGAUGUUUUCAUUAAUCAAGAACGAAAGUUAGGGAUCGAAGACGAUCAGAUACCGUCGUAGUCUUAACCAUAAACUAUGACCGACUAGGAACGUCGGACGUAGUGUUGAACAAAGUUCGACGCCGACGCGGGCCU